UGUGGGAGCAGAAUGGGGUACAGGCUAAUUGGGAGAGAGGAUGCUCUGGGGGCUGAAAGGGAAACACAAAAUGGGGCAGGCACUGAAGUGGAUGGUAGUAGGCUGGGGAAUAGAGACAGAACCCGCGUUUGUUCUAGGACACAGGUUCAUGCCCCUAUUCUUGUGAAGAGAACCGCAAGCUGUUUAAUGAUGAUAAGUGAGGUUGGAAACUCAGAGGUCGUCAUCACAUGGAAUUCCCCUGAAACCCCAUCCUCAAAUGGGGACACAAGAGCCCACUCUUUGGAUCCCAGGAAUCCCCCCUUCCUGCUUCUCUGGACCCUUCUCUCUCUAGGCAGGCUGCCUUCACCUGUGCAAAUCUCUCUUCAAAGCAUUCCCAACUCAUGCUGGCUUUGGAGAGAAAAGGACUGGAACUGAGACCCACCCCCAACUGAUAAUGUAACAUGGACCUCCGGACCAUUUUGCAGAUUUCUUUAGAUUCUGCAGUCUCACAGGCUGUAACACCUCCAGAGAAGUACCACUGCUGGGGAAGCUCAUAUAUGCUGGUUCAAACUGGAUUCUCCAGAGACCAACGGAC